rnacentral:lncRNA from 1 species
ACAGGAAUUCCACCCCUGAGUGUUCAGCUCUGCCCAGUCCCCCACCCCAGCCCUGUCCUGUGCCAGGAGCAGGAGAUGCCGGCAGGAGCUGCUGCAGGAAUUGGGCAGAGCAAGACAUCGAUAUUCCCUUUGUUCCACUCCAGCACUCCUCAGAGGCAUUUGAUGAGUGGAUGAACAUCACAAACCAAUUAAGAACAAGAGAUCUCAUCUGGCUUUUCACUGACUGAGAUGGAGAAUUAAAGUCAUUUUAGACCUGGUUUGAAGUUCCAGGUUUCCACACCAGGUAGUUUUCAACAAUAUUUUAUUUUUCUUUCUAGUUGCAGCUGCAAUAGUUCUGGGCUGAGAGCUGCCAGAGCACCCCUGGAAGGACCCAGGCCAUGGAAUUGGGGUGGGGGGGAGAGCCCAGCCCCUGCCCUGCUCCCCCCAGGGCUCCCUGAGCCCAGCCACCACUUCCAGGGCCAUCCAUGGAUGGGACAAACAGCUCAUUUCACCUCUCUCUAAAGCUUUGUUCCAAAACUCACCUUUCCAGUGGCCACUUACCACACCUGAGCCAAGAUUUCCUGGAAAGGUGGAGGAGAGGCUGCAGCACAGCCAGAGCUGCCUCUAAAGGAAAACAAAUGAAAUGUUUGUAAUUGAGGAUGUGCUGGAGCCUCUCCCCAGGUAAUUUUUGGAUGUUGUCGUGUACAGGAGAAAUUCGUGUUAGUGCUGAUGAUAACAGACCUGCAGAGCAGUAAAUGGAUUUCUGUGCUAUUUUCCACCUGAAAGGAUGACCCUUAGAAUCCAACACCCUGAACAGCGAGAUUGUUAUUGGAAAAGAGGGAUAAGGAGGUGCUUCUGUUGCACAGCAGAAAAUGGAUGAUUUAGGGGAAGCUUUCCAGGGCAGAGCUUCAGCCUGGCUGCCUGUGGAGCUGGGGCAGGGUUUGGGCACCUGGGAGGUCCCUUUGGCCGGGCUGUGUUGGGGGAGGAGGGAUGGGAGCCCUGUCCUGAGCUCGGGGUGAGUGCUGGGG